rnacentral:rRNA from 1 species
CCCCGGGCCGCCCUUGGGCCGCUGGGAUUCCCAUACAAUCUUGCUAGCGCAUGCCCAUAAAGAUAAAAGCUCCGGCGGUGUAAAAUGAGCGUGCGUCCUAUUAGCUAGUUGGAGAGGUAAUGGCUCACCAAGGCUACGAUGGGUAGGGGUUCUUAGUGGAAGGUCCCCCACACUGGCACUGAGAUACGGGCCAGACUCCUACGGGAGGCAGCAGUAGGGAAUAUUGGUCAAUGGGCGCAAGCCUGAACCAGCCAUGCCGCGUGCAGGAUGAAGGCUCUCUGAGUUGUAAACUGCUUUUGUACAGGAGCAAAAAAGCCCCUGCGGGGGCUCUUGAGAGUACUGUAAGAAUAAGCACCGGCUAAUUCCGUGCCAGCAGCCGCGGUAAUACGGAAGGUGCAAGCGUUAUCCGGUUUUAUUGGGUUUAAAGGGUGCGUAGGCGGCUUAUUAAGUCAGUUGUGAAAUCCUAGUGCUUAACGCUAGAACUGCGAUUGAUACUAUUAGGCUUGAGUUAAGAAGAGGUAGGCAGAAUUUAUGGUGUAGUAAUGAAAUGCUUAGAUAUCAUAAGGGAAUACCAAUAGCGUAGGCAGCUUACUGGUCUUUAAAUGACGCUUAAAGCACUUAAAGCAUGGGGGAGCCAA